AUGUCCGGUGAGAUCCGACACGCGCGUCCUCCAGAGGCCAAGCGCGGCCAUCUCCCGUCGUUAGGGCUUCGUUCGCCGAUGGAUCUAGCACUGGCCGGCGACGAGGGCCGCCAGAUCCGCGACAUGGGAGGCUCCUCCCGUACGAUACGGGAGCAGCGCGCCACACCCUGUAGUCGCCGGUCCGGGACGAGCGCAACGGGUCGAGGACGGUGGCGACAAACGCCGGCGCUCCUCUGCUUCAUCGACCUGGACGGCUGCUACUCCGCCAAAGACGUCACCUACAGGCGUACGGAGCGCACUGAACUGUCAUUUAUAUACCACACGACGUUCCUGUUCAAAAAUUGUGGAUACUGUGGCUACACAUUGAACUUGAGCUCCUCAACACGGAACACGGCCAACAUUGGAUCCAAGUACGGGAAGUUCCAUGGUGCCAAGUGGCCUCUGGCCAUCUUGAACUGGGACUCCAGUAACAAGUGCUCGCGGAGGAGGCCAAGGCGUUGGUGCACGAAUGCCACUUCUUCCACCAGCGACCCUCCCCUCUACGCCCAGCCUGUGGAACACUUCGACGCCAUCUUUGGAGCUGCCAAUGUCUUCCUGCAGCGGGAGGUGAUGUUGGAGCAGUACAUUGAUCAGCAGAUGGCAAGGAGAAGCUGGGACAGCCCUAAUGCAGUAACAUCACCAUGUGGCAAAUCCAGUAGAUUGACACAACAUUGGUGCUUGGGUGACGGGACAAACUAA
rnacentral:rRNA from 1 species